rnacentral:rRNA from 1 species
GAUGAACGCUGGCGGCGUGCUUAACACAUGCAAGUCGAACGGAAAGGCCCAAGCUUUCUUGGGUACUCGAGUGGCGAACGGGUGGGUAACAAGGGGGUGGUCUGCCCUGCACUUUGGGAUAAGCCGGGGGAACUGGGUCUAGUACCGGAUUGGUCCUCAUUUUGGAUGGUGUGGUUUAAAGUUUUUUUGGUGGGGAAGAGGUCGUGCCCUUUAAGCUGUUUGGGGGGGUAAUAGCCUACCAAGGCGGCGACGGGUAGCCGGCCUGAGAGGGUGUACGGCGAAAUUGGGACUGAGAAAAGGCCCAGAAGCCUACGGGGGGCAGCAGUGGGGAAUAUUGCACAAUGGGGGCAAGCCUGAUGCAGCGACGCCGCGUGGGGGAUGACGGACUUCGGGUUGUAAACUCCUUUCGCUAGGGACGAAGCGUUUUUGUGACGGUACCUGGAGAAGAAGCACCGGCUAACUACGU